UAUCGGCCGCUCUCCCCAUCGCCGAAAGACUCAACUGAGAUGUUUGAUCGAAUCUGGUCAGACGCGAGCGUCAGAGGAACUAUACGAGGCGCUUUAAACAGAGUCAGGGGCGGUUCACCCCGCUGCGAUCGGCGCAGAGCGGGCGACUACAAACUGAUCAUCGAUCAUUCACGUUUGCCGACUGGAUCUUUGCUCUCUCGAGGUACAUCACAAGGGAGUGUCGUUCCGCGAGUAACUAUCGCGACUUAAUGCAUCCGUGUUGAUCAGCAACAGAGGCAAGUGAUGUUUCGAACUCGUAUAUGGCGCUGAUCUUUGAUCUAUAAUGUCAAUGCGUAUCAUGAUCCAUUGUAGACCCGCACACACAUAUUCAUAUAGCUUAAUUGAUAUCAUCGUUGUAGUCACCAAGCGAAUAAAGUCGUUCCUUUACCUGGUCAGCAUAUGCUCAUCUAGUUACUACGUUUGUAUUCACUAUCCUCGUCGCCUGACUCUGCAGGACGUCUCCGGCACAGUAUAUCCUUCAGCAUAUGCCGCGCACAACCCAUAGCCUUGUCACCUGUACGGACGGAUGUGGCGUAAGGUCGCGAUACUCUGGUGAGACGACCUUGAGCAGAACAAGCCGCCUUCCACCCCUCUAAGAAGAGUCCAGUUCAAUAUGGCGUUACAAUCUGCUCCACCCACACCGCUAUGGUCUCAAUCGUCCACCCGACUGCUUUCAAGUGUUUCGCGAAGAGCGAUGACUAAGAACUCACGACAAUGUAGUCUAACAUAUCCAUCUGUUUUUGUGUCACAAAAUAUAAAUUCAUUAUCACACGUAUACAACAGGUAGCUGAUGAUAGAAUAGAACAGUACCUGCCUAUAUUUCAAACUCAUGUUAACAUUCUUAUCUGUGACAAACGAUGCUGGGUUAGUGCACGCAACUCACUAUAUAUAUAUAUAUAUAUGUUAAGUAUAUAUAUUAACUAUAUAUAUAUUAAGUAGAAUCAUGACUCGCGCUCCACCUGGUACAUCCCGUUCAAAUAUGGCUUCCUUGAUUAGUUCUAGUGCUUAGUCGUCGCAUUGUCGAACCGCUCUGCGACUAGAAACACAGCGACCUUACAGACUGACUGAACGUCGUUCAGGUUUAAUGGUGUUUAAAAAUCACGGCCAUUUCGUAUGAGUGCGUAAGGCAGGCAGAUACGUUUGGCUGUUGGUCGGGACGUAUAAGAAGAUUCGCAGCCAAAACAGAACGAAUGAACAUCCUUGGUAGAAAGGUUGGAAAAGGCUGUCCGUGACUCAAUACGACGUACACAAUAGAGUAGUACAUAUAAUACGGCAAUGUGUUAUCGGUAGAUGCAUCAGCGUCAUAAAACCACACAUUCUGCUAGUGAUUUCUAAUCUUGUACUUCUGUAAUGUGUGUGUACAUUGGUUCAAAAUGGAUAAACUCAUAAGAACUUGAAAGGCUCAAGCUCUAGGAUUCAAACACCGUGCACGAUACUGAUGAAUCCGAUGUUCAAAAGCUACCGAAAGCUGUUAACCCACAUAUACUCUAAUUAGAUGCGGAUAUUGUCAGUCAAUGUCCCAUUCCGGCUCAUAUCAGGCGUAUUGUAAUGUCGACCGGUAGCGUUGCUCACUUACUUCUCUGCCAUUGAGGAAAAGUCCAAGAACAAGCGCUGUCUAUGAGGACAACAGCAUAUUGGAAAUGUCCAUCGAACCUCAAUUAUUAUUAUUGUUGUUGUUGUUGUUGUUGUUGUUGUCGUCGUCCCUGCUGCGUUCCGCCCUCGUUUCACGAGUACACAGCUGCCCCCAUUUUUCGACUUAAGCCGCCAAUACAACAACAUACGACGGGAUGGACCUCGUUCGCUGUCGCCGAAGAUGGCGAGCUCUGGCAAAUUGCCUGUCCGGCUGACGUCCUGUGACCACUCGUGUGAGGUUCGCUUUGUCUGUGUCGUCCUGAGGGACGAACGAGACUCGCCGAUGAGAAUGCGUGGACGAACACGAGGAAAGAGCAUACGGUGCUUAGGUAUGAUGCAUAUUCUGACAGGCGUUAGCAAAAGGUAUUACACAAAGCAGUAACAUCAACAGCGACAUUUCUACCUGGAGCACAAACAGUUCGGGCUGUGCUUGGUAAUACAGACGUGCACAAGCCUCCCUCGAUUCCAGUCGAUUUUUCUAUUGAAUCCCACUGAAUCCCUAUCUUGGUUAUAUUCUCUCAAACGGGGGAGAUGGCUCCUGGUCACAGGGGAACCCUAACGUUAUCUGCUUAGCCACCUAACUCCAUAUCAGAGCCGCCACAUUAAUAGAGGAGGAUGGCAACAAAGCUACCUGUCACAUAGGGGGUGCCACGGAUCGCAUCGUAGAGACUAUACGUAGAAAAUCAAAAAAGGGUAUCAAUAGGGCAGGAAGAAAUGAUAAAAGUACUUGAUUUCGUAUGCCAGUAACCUUGGCUACAAUCGUUGGUAAAAAGCUCGUGCACGAUAUUUCUUCUCAUUUAUGGAUAGCAAAGGUUUAUCAAGAACACAGCUUGCGCUGUCGGACUAGACAAACAGAGUACAAUUGUUACGUUAUUAUUAUCAUCUGUGGACUAAAACAAAUAACUCACGUCUACUUUUUCUUUAGACAGACGCGAGUCGUUACGAAUCUGGGCUUUUAAAACCCGAUGAAGUUCGCAUGUGGUAAUAAUUUUCUCUUUAUUUAGUAUCAGCACGUCGGAUUUUGGGCACUCCCGAUUUUUCUUGAAUUGUAAUCAUGCUAUUAGUACCGAAUAAGCAAAUCCUUAGACUGAAUAAUGCCGUCGUUGUCCGCAUCCCUGUAUGCUAUCGGUAUAGACAAAACUCGUCUACCCCCUACAAAACUCAAAUAACAUCACAGUGUCCAUCGUCGGGCCUUGUGUACUAUGAUCGGUGUGGGCGAGUUGCUAAAAUAUUGAAUAAUAAUAAUAAUAACGUUUUUUGUUAUCAGCUGCCUUCAAUCUCUAGUCUGGGGAUCGACAAACCCUCGAUGUCUAAUGCGUACAGGAUGCUAUAUGCAAGCAUAUCGCGGAUGUUGUGUCUUCCUUGUCGAUUGGUCUGUUCCCAAUAGCUAGUGGUCUGUAUAUGAUCCCCGUGAUGAGUGACGAUCUUUGGGUUGCUUGUUGGUGACCUAAAUAGCAGAAAAAAUGCGAAUGUUUUUGUGGGAGUGAGCAAGAAGCUGAGUUGACGAUAAGGCAUUAGCCAAGCUGAAGGGACCGGACCCAUCAGCAAUAGGCAGACGCAGGAACUUUUCUGAAUCUUUGCACAAUAAGCUGCCACCCUUAAUUUUCCUUGUUAUUCAUGUUUCGCUAUCUAGCGAACUAGGGAAAGUUCUGUAACUCCACUGUUCUGCAAGAUUGACAAUUCACAACUUAGAGGGCCAAAACGCUAGAUGUUACGCUGUCAGAUAAUAGAAAUAGCGUUUUUUUCCCAUAUUAUCAUUGUCAAUUAUUGGAUACAAUAUAUAUCCACAUAAGCGUAUGAUAUAACAACCCACUAAGUGCUGGUAUCAUUGUGACCAGAUGGACCAUUUCGUGUGAAUGACUUGCGCUCUACUAUCUACCUCUAACAAAAAUGUGACCCUAUCAGAAAAGCUUCAGCGUCAACUUGAAUCUGCUAUUGUUUUAAACGAUUCUCCUUGCAAAGAGCUAUCGUGAAGUUUUGAAAUACGCACGGUGCUCACGUGUCUAGUAUAAACGCGCUGUUAUCAGAGGCGAAAAUUGGCCUUGAGAAAAGUAUCAUAUGGUUCUUUUCAAGACGCUCUGUCCAGAUAUACGCACACGCCGACUUUCGAACGUCAGAUAGUCGUCACGGAUUUUUAUCGUCGAUUUAGUAUAUUGGGCCUAAGGCUGCUCGUCCUACUAUUGUGCUAGUAAAUGUCAACACAUUUUCGUUUAAGCGGUACGUAGGUGAUGAUUUGUUUUUGAUAAUUAUGUGUUUAUCAUAAACUGAGCGAAGUUCUUUUGCGUCGACAUCGUACUUCAAUUUAAACACAUUGCAUAGUGCUUUCAUAGCGAGCUACACUGUUGAUUAGAAAAACAUCAAAAUCUCGAUGUAUUUUUUCUACAGGUGAA
rnacentral:lncRNA from 1 species